CCCUUAGAUGUUCUGGGCGGCCCGCGCACUACAAUGGCGCUUUCAGCGAGUUCCUAUGUUGAAUUUUCCUUGGUAUUCUUGGAAGCGGCGUCUUGACUUGGGAUAGAUCCUUGUAAUUGUUGGUUUUGAACGAGGAAUUCCUUGUAAUCGCGGUUGACCAGCUCGCGUUGAAUACGUCCCUGCCCUUUGUACACACCGCCCGUCGCUCCUACCGAUGAAUCGUCCGGUGAAGUUCACAGAGUGGCGGUUCGUGGAGUUGCUCGCGAAGUGAAAUGGACCUCACGAUUUAGAGGAAGGAGAAGUCGUAACA
rnacentral:rRNA from 1 species